UACUGAAUUUCUUUUCUGAAAACAGAGAC
rnacentral:piRNA from 1 species